rnacentral:rRNA from 1 species
AACGUAGGAGACAAACGUUAUCCGGAGUUACUGGGCGUAAAGGGCGUGUAGGUGGUUUUGUAAGUCUGGCGUGAAAUAUCUCGGCUUAACCGAGGCAGGUCGUCGGAUACUGCAAGACUGGAGGACGGUAGAGGCGUGUGGAAUUCCGGGUGUAGUGGUGAAAUGCGUAGAGAUCCGGAGGAACACCAGUGGCGAAGGCGACACGCUGGGCAGUACCUGACACUGAACCGCGACAGCAUGGGGAGCAAACAGG